AGGCCCUACAACGCCUUAAUGUGCCCCCAUAACCAUGUUAGGAACACGAGGAAACCUCAUCCUGACAUGAGCAAAGUCGAAGACCCAGUUCUUUUAGACCGAAUGGGGGGAGAGGCUCUCACAACGACCUUUAUGUGCCCCCACAGCCCCGUCGGAAAUAGAAGGAGAACCUCAUCCUAACCUGAGCUGAGAUCGACUACGUCAAGGACAGAAGGAGGACCUCGUCCUGACAAUGACAAAAACCUGGUCACCCAACA
rnacentral:lncRNA from 1 species